rnacentral:rRNA from 1 species
GACGAACGCUGGCGGCGUGCUUAACACAUGCAAGUCGAACGGAAAGGCCCUGCUUUUGUGGUGUGCUCGAGUGGCGAACGGGUGAGUAACACGUGAGUAACCUGCCCUUGACUUUGGGAUAACUUCAGGAAACUAGGGCUAAUUCCUGAUAGGAACUCCUGCUGCAUGGUGUGGGGGGGAGAGUUUCGGCGGUUGGUGUUUGUCUCGCGGCUGAGCAGCUUGUUGGUGGGGUAGUGGCGCACCAAGGCGAUGAUGGGUAGCCGGCCGGAGAGGAUGAACGGCCACAUUGGGACGGAGACACGGCCCAGACUCCUACGGGAGGCAGCAGUGGGGAAUCUGCCGCAAUGGACGAAAGUCGGACGGAGCAACGCCGCGUGAGUGAGGACGGCCUGCGGGUUGUAAAGCUCUGUUAAUCGGGACGAAAGGCCUUCUUGCGAAUAGUUAGAAGGAUUGACGGUACCGGAAUAGAAAGCCACGGCUAACUACGUG